GAUGAACGCUGGCGGCGUGCCUAAUAUAUGCAAGUCGAGCGAACAGACGAGGAGCUUGCUCCUCUGACGUUAACGGCGGACGGGUGAGUAACACGUGGAUAACCUACCUAUUAAACUGGGAUUACUUCGGGAAACCGGAGCUAAUACCGGAUCAUAUAUUGAACCGCAUGGUUCAAUCGUGAAAGGCGGUUUUGCUGUCACUUAUAGCUGGGUCCGCGCCGCAUUAGCUAGUUGGUAAGGUAACGGCUUACCAAGGCAACGAUGCGUAGCCGACCUGAGAGGGUGAUCGGCCACACAAGAACUGAGACACGGUCCAGACUCCUACGGGAGGCAGCAGUAGGGAAUCUUCCGCAAUGGGCGCAAGCUUGACGGAGCAACGCCGCGUCAGUGAUGAAGGUCUUCGGAUCGUAAAACUCUGUUAUUAGGGAAGAACAAAUGUGUAACUAACUAUGCACGUCUUGACGGUACCUAAUCAGAAAGCCACGGCUAACUACGUG
rnacentral:rRNA from 1 species